rnacentral:rRNA from 1 species
GAUGAACGCUGGCGGCGUGCCUAAUACAUGCAAGUCGAGCGAACGGACGAGAAGCUUGCUUCUCUGAUGUUAGCGGCGGACGGGUGAGUAACACGUGGAUAACCUACCUAUAAGACUGGGAUAACUUCGGGAAACCGGAGCUAAUACCGGAUGAUAUUUUGAAUCGCAUGGUUCAAAAGUGAAAGACGGUCUUGCUGUCACUUAUAGAUGGAUCCGCGCUGCAUUAGCUAGUUGGUAAGGUAACGGCUUACCAAGGCAACGAUGCAUAGCCGACCUGGGAGGGUGAUCGGCCACACUGGAACUGAGACACGGUCCAGACUCCUACGGGAGGCAGCAGUAGGGAAUCUUCCGCAAUGGGCGAAAGCCUGACGGAGCAACGCCGCGUGAGUGAUGAAGGUCUUCGGAUCGUAAAACUCUGUUAUUAGGGAAGAACAUAUGUGUAAGUAACUGUGCACAUCUUGACGGUACCUAAUCAGAAAGCCACGGCUAACUACGUG